rnacentral:tRNA from 1 species
GGGGUGGUGGUCUAGCCGGUUAUGACAUCUCCCUUACAAGGAGAAGGUCGCCAGUUCGAACCUGGCCCACCCCA